GAUCAUGGCUCAGGAUGAACGCUGGCGGCGUGCUUAACACAUGCAAGUCGAGCGAAACACCUUAUUUGAUUUUCUUCGGAACUGAAGAUUUGGUGAUUGAGUGGCGGACGGGUGAGUAACGCGUGGGUAACCUAUCCUGUACAGGGGAGUAACAGCCAGAAAUGACUGCUAAUACCGCAUAAGACCACAGCACCGCAUGGUGCAGGGGUAAAAACUCCGGUGGUACAGGAUGGACCCGCGU
rnacentral:rRNA from 1 species